rnacentral:snRNA from 1 species
AAGGACGUAUUGGUUUUCCCGCG